rfam:Gossypium arboreum cultivar AKA8401 contig_3981_3, whole genome shotgun sequence.
AGUUAAAAUUUUCAUUCAUUUCUACUAUUAAAAACUGAUAUGGCUGACGGAAUAACUAUAUAAUUACACGUGGCGUACCGCGUUUACCUCAUAUCGACGUACAAAGAUCAGUUUUUAACAGUAGAAAUGGAUGAAUUUUUUAAUA